rnacentral:rRNA from 1 species
UACGGGGGGGGCAAGCGUUGUUCGGAAUUACUGGGCGUAAAGGGUUUGUAGGUGGCUUGUUAAGUCAGACGUGAAAUCCCUCAGCUUAACUGGGGAACUGCGUCUGAUACUGGCGAGCUUGAGUGCAGGAGAGGAACGCGGAAUUCCAGGUGUAGCGGUGAAAUGCGUAGAUAUCAGGAGGAACACCGGUGGCGAAGGCGGAUCUCUGGGCCAUUACUGACGCUGAGGAGCGAAAGCGUGGGGAGCGAACAGG